rnacentral:rRNA from 1 species
UACGGAGGAUGCAAGCGUUAUCCGGAAUCAUUGGGCGUAAAGCGUCCGUAGGUGGCUUUUCAAGUCUGCCGUCAAAGACCGGGGCUUAACCCCAGAAAGGCGGUGGAAACUGAAUAGCUAGAGUGCGGUAGGGGUAGAGGGAAUUCCCGGUGUAGCGGUGAAAUGCGUAGAGAUCGGGAAGAACACCGGUGGCGAAAGCGCUCUACUGGACCGUAACUGACACUCAGGGACGAAAGCUAGGGGAGCGAAUGGG